CUUGACGAUAGUGCUGCCUUGAAUGGGAGUAGAGCUAUUCUUAAUAAUUUUGCGAUUCAUUUAGUUCAGAGAGUAACCGCGAGGGGGACAGGUGUGUGACUUUAUGUCUUGCUGAACCAUUUUUUUUCCUGUACAGUAAGACUUUGGGAAUGAAAUGCUACAAUCUCCUCUUGUCUAUGGUGUUUUUCUGCAAUAGUUCCCUACGCAAUCAUUAUAGUAGAAUAAAGGAAAUAAUCUAGGGAUAGUGAUUCAAUAAAUAACAGGUGCCCUGUCUAGAGCGUACGCGUCCUUGAGCCACGCACCUGCAUGAUGACCGCAUACCGAGAGACUAUUGUUUCAGGUUGACCUUGUCUAGAGGAGCAUUAGUGGAAAAAAACUGUGUAGCCCUGAGACAAUAGGAUGACGUUACGACCAAUGAGAACGGCCUGCAGGGGGCGCAAGGAUUCACUUCUCUCUUGGACACUGACGGGUCUCGACACGCAAAUUCUGCUCCUGGCGUUGGCCGUCAGUGGAAGAGCGUAGCUUCGGUGGGGUUCUGUCUGCCUCUGAUGGGGUGCGGAUGUGUGGUUCGUCACUGGUGAAUGGUGUUCGACGAUGCAGGUGGAUUUUGUGACGAGCGGAUUUACAAUGAGGGAAUGCUGUGAACGGGAAAAAUGAUGAGCUGUCCUAUCUUGCCCAGACAUGCCAUGAUGACGUCACAGCUGACGUCACAGGAUGUGCGGAACUGGUGCUGCGAUGCUUUGCAACCUGCCUCUGUGCUCCGUCGCCCAGCGACGGUCAGCGGCCGUUCCGGGCCGCUUUCUUCAAGAUGACGUCGUUGAUCUUCAACUAAACUCCUUCUCUCCACUC